GGUGUGAAAAAGGUCAUGGUUUCUCCAAUCUCCAAAGGAUCAAAAGAUUCAUGGGUUUCUCUAUCUUAUUUCGCCCUCUCAUUCUGAUCAUAUUCAUUGCCUCCAUCUUUACCAUGCAGCUAUCUCAUGUUAACGCAGGUAGACCCCUGCCAAACCCACCGCCUGCUCCCUCUAGAGCCAAGCCGCAGCAUGCGAUUAGACCAGGGGGACCACCUCAAGCAUAAAAUAAGAGUCUGAGUUCCUAAUGUUUGUAUAAACUUUAUAUUAUAUCUUUUAGAGGAUUGAUUUCUCUUGCUUUUUCAAAUUUUUAUGAUUUCCUAAUUCCGAUGUUAAUUAUCAUGUUGAUGGUUUAAUUUUAUUUUGAUAUGGAACGAUACAAUGGGUCGACUUUUCCUUUUCUUA